rnacentral:rRNA from 1 species
CGGAUAGAGCCAGCGAAGUCGCUCGUAUUCAGCCAAAGGCUUGGGGCAUCGGCGUGUCGGGUUGCUAAUCACGCCUGGCGCGUCUUUUGCCUCUGGUUGAGGUGCAUUUGCRGGCGUUUGCGCUGAGACUUGCGGAUCAGCUUCUGGACCCGGGCCUAGAGGCCGUCCUAUGGGCGGAACUUGGRCACGGCGACGGUUGUUUGGUCUGCUCGUACCACGGCUUGGCCUACGGACAGGGUUGCUGUCGUUGUUCACGGGCGUUGGCAUCGCAUGCGAUGACUCGUUCGGGGCCGGCGGCGGUGRCUCGCGUUCCCAAGUCGGCUCUCGGUGUAAAAGCUGGUCACCUAUCCGACCCGUCUUGAAACACGGACCAAGGAGUUUAGCGUAUACGCGAGCCAUUGGGUGUUAAAACUCACAGGCACAAUGAAAGUGAAGGCCCAGCCGCUGGGCUGACAUGCGAGUUGGUGGGCCACGGCCUGCCGAUGCAGCAUGGUCCCGUUCCAGUCGCUUGCGGCGGAGCGGAGACAGAGCGUAUGCGCUGAG